GGGGUGAGGCCGGAUCCUGGGCUGUGUCCAGGCGCCCAGUGCUCCGGGGCCUGCGCGGGCCUGCGAUGUUGGAUUCUCGCUCCGGCUGCGCAGCCUCCU
rnacentral:pre_miRNA from 1 species